rnacentral:rRNA from 1 species
GACGAACGCUGGCGGCGUGCUUAACACAUGCAAGUCGAACGGAAAGGCCCUGCUUUUGUGGGGUGCUCGAGUGGCGAACGGGUGAGUAACACGUGAGUAACCUGCCCUUGACUUUGGGAUAACUUCAGGAAACUGGGGCUAAUACCGGAUAGGAGCUCCUGCUGCAUGGUGGGGGUUGGAAAGUUUCGGCGGUUGGGGAUGGACUCGCGGCUUAUCAGCUUGUUGGUGGGGUAGUGGCUUACCAAGGCUUUGACGGGUAGCCGGCCUGAGAGGGUGACCGGCCACAUUGGGACUGAGAUACGGCCCAGAUUCCUACGGGAGGCAGCAGUGGGGAAUAUUGCACAAUGGGCGGAAGCCUGAUGCAGCAACGCCGCGUGCGGGAUGACGGCCUUCGGGUUGUAAACCGCUUUCGCCUGUGACGAAGCGUGAGUGACGGUAAUGGGUAAAGAAGCACCGGCGAACUACGU